rnacentral:rRNA from 1 species
AGUCGAGCGGUAAGGCCCUUCGGGGUACACGAGCGGCGAACGGGUGAGUAACACGUGAGCAACCUGCCCCUGACUCUGGGAUAAGCGGUGGAAACGCCGUCUAAUACCGGAUACGACCCACCACCUCAUGGUGGAGGGUGGAAAGUUUUAUCGGUCAGGGAUGGGCUCGCGGCCUAUCAGCUUGUUGGUGGGGUAACGGCCUACCAAGGCGAUUACGGGUAGCCGGCCUGAGAGGGCGACCGGCCACACUGGGACUGAGACACGGCCCAGACUCCUGCGGGAGGCAGCAGUGGGGAAUAUUGCACAAUGGGCGAAAGCCUGAUGCAGCGACGCCGCGUGGGGGAUGACGGCCUUCGGGUUGUAAACCUCUUUUACCACCAACGCAGGCUCCACGUUCUCGUGGGGUUGACGGUAGGUGGGGAAUAAGGACCGGCUAACUACGUGCCAGCAGCCGCGGUAAUACGUAGGGUCCGAGCGUUGUCCGGAAUUAUUGGGCGUAAAGAGCUCGUAGGCGGCAUGUCGCGUCUGCUGUGAAAGACCGGGGCUUAACUCCGGUUCUGCAGUGGAUACGGGCAUGCUAGAGGUAGGUAGGGGAGACUGGAAUUCCUGGUGUAGCGGUGAAAUGCGCAGAUAUCAGGAGGAACACCGGUGGCGAAGGCGGGUCUCUGGGCCUUACCUGACGCUGAGGAGCGAAAGCAUGGGGAGCGAACAGGAUUAGAUACC